CGGAGGCAGCAGUAAGGAAUAUUGGGCAAUGGGCGAAAGCCUGACCCAGCCAUGCCGCGUGAAGGAUGAAUGCCCUAUGGGUUGUAAACUUCUUUUGUACGGGACAAAACUCUCGAACGUGUUCGGGAUUGAAGGUACUGUAUGAAUAAGCAUCGGCUAACUCCGUGCCAGCAGCCGCGGUAAUACGGAGGAUGCGAGCGUUAUCCGGAUUCAUUGGGUUUAAAGGGUGCGUAGGCGGAAUAAUAAGUCAGCGGUGAAAGCCUGCGGCUUAACCGUAGAAUUGCCAUUGAUACUGUUAUUCUUGAGUAUAGUUGAAGUAGGCGGAAUGUGUAAUGUAGCGGUGAAAUGCUUAGAUAUUACACAGAGCACCAAUUGCGAAGGCAGCUUACUAAGCUGUUACUGACGCUGAGGCACGAAAGCGUGGGGAGCAAACAGGAUUAGAUACCCGCGU
rnacentral:rRNA from 1 species